UUUUCUUCUCUGUCUUCCUUAUGUGUUGCUCUAAACUCUUCAGUUCAGUUCUGUCUUUGUUCUCUAAUGAUCAUCGUUCUCUUCUCUAAACUAACCACACCCAAUUCACUAGCUCACAAGAAAGAGGAGAGAAUCGCCAUGAAUCCUACUGUCAAAGAAUAUGAAAUUGUCUUUUCAAUUUGCGGUUAGCUUCUAUAAGUUUCAUUGUCCUCUUUCUCAAACUAGUUCUUGUUUCAGCUAUUACCCAAUAAAGUGGAUGAUUGAUUUGUGCCAUGAAUUUCAAAUUAGGGAACUUGAAUUGCUUGGGUACCAGCUGGGUGUUUGCUUUCAAAAAUUGGAUUGCUAUCAUCUAUGGGCAUAAAUGCUUGUGUGCUUGGAGAUUUUGGCUGCUAGGUGCUUGAUUUGAGGUAGGGAAAACAAACUUUUCUUUAUAGCUUUGAUUCUAGUUUGAUAUGUAUUUGGGGUGAUUGUGUUGGAAAUGUUUCUUAUGCAUUCUUUCUUGGCUGUAAAUUGACAAGCAGUUGGUUUGUCAAUCUGAAGUAUUGAGUUUUCAUUGUUGUGAUGUCUCAUUCGGUUUAAUUCUUUCUGAUAUGAUCAUAUGAGUAUGUUGAUAGGUUCUUAUUCAUGGUUCAAGUGUCCUUGUAAUGGAUGUGUUAGUGUUGAUAUAAACUAUUAGCCUUUGAAUAUCCAUGUUGAAGUUCUUUGAAGUAUGUACAGAAGCCAACGUCCACUUUCCUCAAAAUCUUUUCUUAUGCCUCCAUAUAUUUUGGUAUAUAUCCGUGAAAGUGUUUUAGUGCAAAUCUGUUCCAUGUCAAAUCUUGUUUCAUUGUAGUGCUUGAUGAUCUCAAAAGAAGCUUCCUAUGGCUGUACUUGAUGGUUCAUUUCUUGAUCUAGUCUUGACGUCCGAUUGUAUCAUAACUCAUUCAUAUAAGUGGUUUAUAUUAGUCCAUCAAUAUUUGUAUACUUGUUAAAAAGGAAGUUGAAAUUUUAAAUCUACUAGAACUUUUCAGUAUAUCUCCUCCAACUGGUUUUAUGUUUUCUUUGCGUUGUCUUCUAGCAAAACUUGUGCAGCCCACUUUCAUGUUUCUUACUUUCUUCUUAUCUGCUUAUGAUCCUAUUAUCGAUCCAGUUUAUCUUCGUCAAGAUUCCUUGAAUUCACAUGAUUAUUGGUCUUGCCUGGACGUCAUUACUAUAAGUUCUGUUUCUUUCUCUACAAUCAGCCUAUUGACUUGCUCUUAUUUUCGAUGUGUAAACAGUCAUAUUUAGGAAAAGUUGUUGAGUUCUAUACAAUUUCUAUUUUAUUCCUUUUAAGAUACAGUAAAGAGAUUUAUGUGCCCUUUCAACUUCAAAGUCUAUUUUGUUUCCAGUACCUUUUGGUCCAUAUGAAAUCAUGAGUUCCAAGUCAAAAUGUACCUGACUAUAAUUGAGUUCAGUUCGUACUACUUGAUAUCCUUGUCUGAAAGUAUUCGUUAUUCAUUGACAAAAUUAUCAUAAAGCUACUCAUGUUUAUUGAGUAAUUCAAUGCCUUGCAUUAUGUUGGGAUAUAUGUGUACUGUUCUUCGUUAUUGGUUAUAUCCUUCUCCAUCAGUUAUCGUCUUUGUUGUUGAUUACUCCAAUAGUUUGAAAACCCAAGUCUUUGCUGCUGGCUUUGAAAUCCAUGUAUUGAUACAUACCUCAUGUUCAGCUUGCUAUUGAAAGCCGAUUCUUCUGAUGUCUGUUUGAAUUUAUUUAGAGACAAGAUUCCAUUCUUUGAUAAUUUCCUCUUGCCAUCUAUGAGUUUGUGAAAUCAGGUUCUCUACCUCAUUGUCAUUAGUUCUAAACUCGUGUACCUAUUGCUUUGAUCUUCACCUAAAGAUCUGCUCUGUUCAAAUUCCUUUCUAUUGAAAGAACAGAGGUCCAUGUUACAGUACUAUUUCUAGGCAGUGUCAUAUGAUAUUUUGAAAAGGGAUUUCAAGUUUCUUUCUGAAAUCUUUGUUUGAUCAGUUGGUCUGGAAAGUGAAACUUCCUGGAAAGAAAUGAUUAGAUUUCAAAUAUUCGGUUCGGUUAGGCCCGGUGAAUUAUGUGAGUGGGGAUUGUGACUCCCUUGGGUUGUUUAACCCUAAACCUGAUCAGGGUACCGCAUGUGCGGGGUUUGCUUAGUGGUAUAGCUGGGCGGUGGGCUCUAACCGGCAUCUUAAGGAUUUGUUAAAAUUUGAGUAAAAGAAAGUUCUAUGAGCUUCAUGAGUUUUCUCAUCGACACUUUUGUUGGUUCAUGGUUAUUCUUAUCUGUUAACCUUGUUCAGGUUAUCCUUAUGAUUAGCUUUCUUCUAUUUCGUUUGUGUAUACUGGCUGUUGAUGCUUGUUAUACUUGGUAAAGUGUGAUAUCUGAAAUUCCAAUGUUAUCUUCGAGUCGAGUUCAUUUAUUCUACUUCCAGACUUCUGAUUUUCUCUCUCACUAGUGCAGCAGCAAUUAUUGGGGUUAAUCUCAUUUCAUUGGUCAUUUCUCUUAAGCUUCAUGUUUGUUCCUGCCUUUCAUUUUCAAGUGCAUGUUGAAUUAGAGUCUUUGUUAUAAAGAUUAUUUUGUCGUACCUACUGAGCUUGUGAAACUCAUUCCCUAUAUUCUUGUUGUUUUCAGGUAGUCCAUAAAUGGACAAGUUAAUGAUACUCUGGAGUACUUGAGUUAAAGUUUUGGUAUUAUUCUGUGAUGGUGUUACUGUGCUUCACUUGUGUCAGAGUGCUUGUGUUCUCUUGGACUGAUUGCGUUGUUAUAAUUGAAUGAGUAUGUUGUUGAUGUUACCUUGUUUUAAAGGGUUAGAAUUUCUAUGUAGCUUUGAGGCAGCAAUCUGAUCCCGUUUUGAUGCCAUAUGUGAUGGAUAGUCAUGUAAUUAGAGUUUGUUAUUGAACAAAAUGUAAAGCUUUCUCUAGCCUUUCUCUUUUCUGAUUUUUAUUGUUUCUGGCAUCUUUAAAAGUAGUAGAACAAGGAUUUAAAGUUGUACUAAAAGGAUUCUCUACAAUUACCUUUGUUACUGUACCGUUUUACAAUUCUUUGGAAAAAGAGUAUGUUAGAGUUACAUCUCACGUUUAGCUCACUGUGUAUCAUUGAAAGCAAUUGAACAAGGAAUUAAAGUGUGUUCAAAGUUUUAUUCAAUAUCUUUUGUUUACAGCUCUGGUUUAAAACGUUGGGAAAAUUGAAAGUAUUAGUAUUUCUUGGGAAGUUUAGUUCUCAUGUUUCACCUCUUUGUUUUCAACAUAAUGAUUCUUACUUCCUCUUUUUGUCAACUUGGCCAAAGUUUUAGUUGAGGUGUUGCUUCCUUCCAAGUUUAUUUAAAAGAAAAAAAAAAUAAUUCCACCAAUCUUUCUUUCAAUUUAAUCCAUCACUUUAGUCAUACCCUAAGGUGAGGGUGUGACAAGUUGUCUCUUAGGUACGUAGCACCAGAAGAGAGAGAAUGUACUGGUUGCUAUAUAGAUGUGUCGGGCCACUAGAUGAGAGGGGAUGUACUAGUGGGCCCCAGGAGUUAGACACCAGGAGAGAGGGGAUGAACUGAUGGCACCAGAAGAGAGGGGAUGUACUGGUGUGUGCGUAUAAGAGUGUCAAUGUGGUCUUGCGAGUUCGGUAGAGUUGUUGAUGUGGCCACGGGUGACUUCAUACGAGCGUUGGGGUAGUUGAUAGUGUGUGUGGUGGUAGGCUUGUCGAUAAGGUCAUAUACGGGUGUGAUUAGUGACGACGCUUGACAUUUAUGAUCGCUUAAUAUGCUGAUGAUAUUUGAUUUUAAGUAUAUAUAUAUAUAUUACGGAUUUCUAAGUUUGCUUAUAAGAUCUCAUAAUUGAAAUAGAUUUUCGGAAAACAUGUUAUGAGUGUUCUUUGUUUUAAUUCAAAUUGAUCGCAUGCUUGCUUUAUGGAUUAAUAAAGAAAUUGGGAAAAUAUCGUUGUAUUAACUUUCAUUGUUUUUGGUAAGAUUAUUUUUGUCUACUCACUCUAACGUAGUUUUCUGAAAUGUUUUCCCCUGGGCUCUUCAG
rnacentral:lncRNA from 1 species